ACUUUACKAUGCGGGAAACCGUGAUAAGGGAACUCCGAGUGCCCGUUAAAUCGGGCUGUCCACCAGUUUAAACAACUGGUGAAGAAAGGGCCGGGCAAGACCGGUGCCAGCCGCCGCGGUAAUACCGGCGGCUCGAGUGGUGGCCACUAUUACUGGGCUUAAAGCGUUCGUAGCUGGUCUGUUAAGUCUCUGGGGAAAUCUACCGGCUUAACCGGUAGGCGUCUCAGGGAUACUGGCAGACUAGGGACCGRGAGAGGUGAGAGGUACUCCAKGGGUAGGA
rnacentral:rRNA from 1 species